UUCCGUUUCAUGUGAACUCUCCGCGUGCAUGUUCCCCUUUUGGAGCCAGAGGCGCGAGGCGACGAGGAAGGGAGCUUCGGAGGAAGGGGCGCAGGACGGGAGGAAGGAGGGCUCUUCGUUCCUAAGGAAAGCCCAAAGGACGGCGUGGCCCAGGAGCGGAGGCCUUGCCGCCCAGGCCUUGCUUCUCCCAGAUGCUGACCUUGAACCCAGAGACCCGAAGAGGGCGCUCCUGAGAUUGGUUGAGACCAGGCAUGGGUAAACUUCGGCCCUCCAGGUGUUUUGGACUUCAACUCCCACAAUUCCUAACAGCCCCAGGCAGUGGUUCUCAACCUGGGGUCCCCAGAUGUUUUUGGCCUACAACUCCCAGAAAUCCCUGCCAGUUUACCACCUGUUAGGAUUUCUGGGAGUUGAAGGCCAAAAGCAUCUGGGGGAACCAGGUUGAGAACCACUGGAAGGCCACUUAAGCAGCUGAGAGGGAAACGGAAGGGGCCCAAAACACCUGGAGGGCCGAAGUUUGCCCAUGUCUGGUUUAUACAGUUCUUUCUCUCAGUUAGAAUAAUAGAGUUGGAAGAGACCCCUGGGGCCAUCUAGUCCAACCCUUGGUAAUAGUAUGAAAUCUGGGUCCGGAAGCUCUGAGCCUUACGCUGUUGCCGCUUCGCUCCUUCGGGAGCGCUGUUUGCGCAACUCGGAACGGAAAACAGAUAUUAUAGAAGGAAUGUAAGCGUUCUUUAAUAUAUAACCCUAAUCCUAAACCUUACCUUAACUCUAAUUCUAACCCUAAACCUUACCCUAACCCCUUAUCCUAACCCUCCCCUCCUUUCUAUCCUUCCACCAAAUGCAACUAUGAAGUAUAUUCCUGCCCUCAGUGUGCCGCUCUCCCUUUCCCUUAUUCACCACCACCGUUGCGGAAUAUGUGUAAAGCUCGGAGCUUCCAGACCCAGCUAUCAUACUAUCACCCAACCCUCUGCAAUUGCAGGAAAAGCAAAAUAAUUCAAAGACUAAUAAUAAUAAUCACAGUGGCAGUAGUCAUUGAAAACUUUCUUGCUCACUUCCCCUGAGGUACAGCAUCAUUGAAGUGCAUAGAUCCCUGCUCACAGACUCUCAUGUAAAGCCCUGCUCACAGACUCUCAGUUCACCAGAACCCUGAAGCAACUGGCAAUUUUUUUUAAAAAAAAAUACUUGUUUAUUUAGCUGUUUAAUAUACAGUAGAACCAUGUCACAUUGAGUUAAGCUUGUCUUUAUUUGCUUUUAAAUACAGUAUUUCAAUAUUACUAUAAAGUUAAUACAGAGUUUAUGGUAUAGUAUGGGGUACAGUAUUACUUUGGCCUAUUUUUAACAGUAACUCAUAGACAACCGGUGACUACAUUUACCUGCUCUUUACCAAUUGCCUGGGAGUCUACUAUACACAUCAAAAGUCUUGUACCAUAAGAGUAAAACACAUUAAUAUCCAUGCUGAUUUGAAAUAGUCUGGUGUAUUGCUGUUCAAAGGGAACUUGUAGUCUUGUAACGCUCCUUCCUUGGAGGCUUUUAAACAGACUGGAUGGAAAUCUGUCAGAGAUGCUUUAAUUGUGCUUUUUGUGCAUGGCAGGGGGUUGGACUAGAUGGCCCCUAGGGUCUCUUCCAACUCUAUUAUUCUAUUAUUCUAACUGAGAGAAAGAAAUUGGUAGCAUCAAGUGACUUCACUUCUUAGCCCAUGUAUCUGAGAAUGUAGGGUUAGUUUACAAAAGCUGCUGCUACCAACAUUUAUUUUUUGUUGCAAAGGUGCUACAAGAUCCAUUUGACAUGUAGUAGCAAUAGAUUGUAAGUCAAAACUCAUGAUUGUGUAGUAGUGGUUAAGAGUGUUGGAUGGGGGCUUGGAAAGUUGCGCUUUGCAAAAAGGAUGCAAGUUUCAGAAGUCCAGUCCAUUAGGUAAUGGAAAGCAUUAGUUCUGCUCUUUGCUGAGACAUCCCAUGUCUGGGUCUUUUAAAGAAAGGUUAUUGACAGGCAUCUCAAAAAGAGUAACUGUAAAAGGGAAAGCUCACAUUAUUAGGAGGCAAGAUAACAUAGUACUCUUCAAAUAUCUGAAAGUUAUAAUGCAAAAUAUGAAGUAUAUUGACUGUUGGUCUGGGGAGCAGUAUGAGAGCCAGUGUAUGGAAACUGCAGAUGUAGAUUUUGGCAAAACAUUAGAAAUUUCCUAACAGUAAGAGUUAUUUAACAGAGCAACAGAUUGCUUCAAGAGGUAGCCAUACUCCUUUGGUGGAGGUAAACACACUCUCCAUGACAACCUCUCACAGGUUCUCUGGCUAUACCCUACUUUGCAGAAUAGAUGUGUGGCUACAAAUUCCAGCUGUCUUAUAGUUAGUAAUAUCAGGUGACAUCAAAUGCCACUUUCUCAAAAGUGUGCAUAUUUAAACUUAGUCCAGAGCAGUGGGUGAUGGUCCUUCCCUUAGCAAUGGGAAAACAGCAUUUUCCCUCCUGUCACUUCAAAAGAAUGUGUAUAUGUUGGCAUUAUGUAUGCUGUUUUUUAUUUAAAGGAUGAAAAUUUCUGUCAAGUGUGAUUACUGAUUAUAUCUAUGCUGCAACUUGGUUUAUCUAAUUUUGGAGUUAUUUCUAGGGUGAAGCCUCUUUACGUGUGAACACUCCAACCCUACUCUGGGACUGCUGGAUAUCUAGUGAGGUGCAUUCCAUGUCUUUCAGAUCUUCAUGGGGAUAUUCUGGAUCCAUACAGGUAAACACUGAUCAGAGAGCAAGCAUCAGGUACUGCACUGAGAAGACCAUCAUCAUAUUCCUUUGUGAUUUUUUUCUGAUGUAAUUCUGGUUUAUUCAUAGCAAUUUUAUUAAAAUCUAAUACUCAACUAUUA